AAGCUCGUAGUUGAAUUUCGGGAUUAGUACGUCGGUCGUGCCUUAGGUACGUACUGGUGUUACUGGUUCCUACCUUCUGACGAACCAUCAUGUCAUUAAUUUGGUGUGGUGGGGAAUCAGGACUGUUACUUUGAAAAAAAUUAGAGUGUUUAAAGCAGGCUCGCGCUUGAAUACAUUAGCAUGGAAUAAUGAAAUAGGACGUUGAUCCUAUUUUGUUGGUUUCUAGGAUUGACGUAAUGAUUAAUAGGGAUAGUUGGG
rnacentral:rRNA from 1 species